rnacentral:rRNA from 1 species
GACGAACGCUGGCGGCGUGCCUAAUACAUGCAAGUGGGACGCAAGGGAACACACUGUGCUUGCACACCGUGUUUUCUUGAGUCGCGAACGGGUGAGUAACGCGUAGGUAACCUGCCUAUUAGCGGGGGAUAACUAUUGGAAACGAUAGCUAAUACCGCAUAAUAUUAAUUAUUGCAUGAUAAUUGAUUGAAAGAUGCAAGCGCAUCACUAGUAGAUGGACCUGCGUUGUAUUAGCUAGUUGGUAAGGUAAGAGCUUACCAAGGCGACGAUACAUAGCCGACCUGAGAGGGUGAUCGGCCACACUGGGACUGAGACACGGCCCAGACUCCUACGGGAGGCAGCGGUAGGGAAUCUUCGGCAAUGGACGAAAGUCUGACCGAGCAACGCCGCGUGAGUGAAGAAGGUUUUCGGAUCGUAAAGCUCUGUUGUAAGUCAAGAACGUGUGUGAGAGUGGAAAGUUCACACA